rnacentral:rRNA from 1 species
GAUGAACGCUGGCGGCGUGCCUAAUACAUGCAAGUAGAACGCUGAAGGAGGAGCUUGCUCUUCUGGAUGAGUUGCGAACGGGUGAGUAACGCGUAGGUAACCUGCCUGGUAGCGGGGGAUAACUAUUGGAAACGAUAGCUAAUACCGCAUGACAACAGUUAUUGCAUGAUAACUGUUUAAAAGGGGCAACUGCUCCACUACCAGAUGGACCUGCGUUGUAUUAGCUAGUUGGUGAGGGAACGGCUCACCAAGGCGACGAUACAUAGCCGACCUGAGAGGGUGAUCGGCCACACUGGGACUGAGACACGGCCCAGACUCCUACGGGAGGCAGCAGUAGGGAAUCUUCGGCAAUGGACGGAAGUCUGACCGAGCAACGCCGCGUGAGUGAAGAAGGUUUUCGGAUCGUAAAGCUCUGUUGUAAGAGAAGAACGAGUGUGAGAGUGGAAAGUUCACACUGUGACGGUAUCUUACCAGAAAGGGACGGCUAACUACGUG